UAGUCCUAAACCAAAAUGUCAAAACAAACAUAGGAUGAUUGGGCCCACGGAUUAAUAAUCCUAAUCCCAUGCUUUAAUCCUUCCAAUCAAACAUGUCAUAAAAGUAUUGUAUAAAAAUUAAGGAUGGAACCAAUUUUCAAUGGUCCUUGUGGGGGUGAGAGAUCUGGCAGUUUAUCAACUGCUCAAUCACUCAACAUCCCACAUCGUCGGCAACCGAUUUAAUUUUUUUGAUCUUUGACGACUCUACACUUCGUUUUCAAUUUCAAUCGGUUAUGUACAACCACUAGUCAAUCAUUCGGCUUCGUUUGGGAAUAAGUUUUUUUAAUAAUUUUUUUAUUUUUUAGCUAAAAUGUAAUGUAAAAAAAAAUAGUAUGUUUGAGAUGAUUUUUGACUUUUUACAAAAAGAUGUGUAAAAAAUUAAAAAAAUAAAAUAAAAUUUUAAACUUUUUAAUAUGAAUUUUUAAUUUUUUAAUUAAAAAAAUCACUUGCCAACCAAGGCUAACUCACCACCAUUCUAACUGGUGCCAACCAACCACCUAUCUCAUUUCCUCACUACACUACCUAGCUUUCUUAUCAACCAUUGCUGCCAUAAACCAUAGCCUGUAAAAUGUUUCUGUCCAAUCACUGAAGCUAAAAUCAUAGGCAAUAGUAACUAAGAGCAUCUAUAAGUAGAUGUGUUAAAAUUAUUUAUGAAAGUGUAUCUUAUGAUAAAAAAUAAUGAAAGUGAGACUUAAAAAUGUGUGUUAAGGUGUGUUAAGAGUUUGUUAAUUUUAAAGAGUGAGUGGUGAUAUAAUGAAUGUGUUAAGAAGUGUGUUAAGUGAUAUAUAAAUAUAUUAUAUAUAAUAUAUCUGUCCUCUCUCUCUCUUUCUCUUUCCAGCACAAAGAUGGAUUCAUUGCUAGCAAAAUUUCUUUCUCUCUUCCACUUUGAUUCAGAACCAAAACCCCCAACUUCCAACACACCCUUUCCCUGCAAGUUGUUGUGUUGCAUUCCUAUUAUCUAAAAUCAAACCCCACAACCACCCAACAAACCAAAGAUCUUAAAUAACCAAGAAAGAAUGAUUUUUUUUGUUUUUUUGAAAUGGAUAUUGGGAUUUCUAUAAUGGGUUUUCAAAGAUUCAAGCUUGAAACCAAACUUGGGGUUGUGGCAAUGGUUGUGUUGAUGGUGCGUUGUAGAGGAGGAAACACUGAUGGAGAGUGCAAGUGAUUGCAAAUUUUUUUUUUUUACUUAAACGGUCCAGACGUUCGGAAAGACAUCCGGCCGGACUUUCCCACGCCACUUUCCCACGUCCCCCCCUCUCUCUCCCUCGCUGGCUAAAACGCUGGGUGUAGUUAGCAGCUUUGCUAACAUCUGACACUAAUUUGAGCCUUUAGCUAGCCCAUUAACAGCUCCAUUGCAACACCCAAAGUGAUUUUCAACUAGUUAAAAUUUAGUGACUGACACUAAAACACUGCUUAACACAUUCAUUGUGGAUGCUCUAAUCCACAAAUGGAUAGCAUGUACAUGCUUAUUUUUUGGCAAAACAAUGUUCAUAAAUAUUAGUUGAAAUUUACAGGUAUACAUCUCUAUACAUAUAUGAUAUAUGUGUUAGUUAUUAUUGUACAUGAAAACUUAAUGAUUAUUCUUAGAAGUACUUUUUUUUUUUUCCUCUUUGAAAAAGCAAUAAAUAUACUAGGAUGACUUUUUUGUUUAAAGGUCUGAAACCAUUAUGGUGGUAUCUCUUAUAUUAUAUAAAUUAUUUAUUUUAAUGUUAUUAAUAAUUUUAUAAAAAAAUAUAAAUAAAGUCUAAUUUUAACAAAUUUAAUUAACUUAGUUGCACUAAAAACUAAAAUAAAAUAAAUUAAAAUUUAUGUGUAAUUCGGAUUUAACUCGGAUCGGACUUGAGCAGAUAAUCUUGAUAGCUCUCAGCACAACUUGUGCUGGAUUUAGACAACCUCUCAAUCCGUCAGAACCCGCCCGAGUUGCACUCUUAAUACCCUCUCUCUCGGGAUGGAUCUAGAAUUUGAACUUCGGAGGGUAAAAACAUAUGUAACUUUUUAUUGAAAAAUGUUAUUAUAAAAUUUUAAAUUUUGAAUUAUACUAGCACAAAAAAAUGAAUAAUAUUAUUAUUAAUCAGCAAGGACCCUGACUCCGGCCCAAAUCAGCUCGGCCCAUUGUUAGGUCAUAAACCUCCCUCUCAACAUACUAGGUCAUUUUGUAUAAUUGACAUUACAUUCUCUUAGCCAUAUGUGUCCAAUAUAAUUGCACUCUCUACUGUCUUUUUGAAAUUUCACUUUCCUUGUACACUCAGCAAUUAACGGUUAUUAGACAAAAUUGAUUUGAAAUCUCUUUAUUUGCUUACUGCUUCAAACAUCUGGUACAUGUUGAACAGUCCACUGAGCAUUUUAUUAUAAGUUGGUUGCUAAUAUAUGUACCGACUUUGGAGGGGAAAGUAUGUGUUCAAUCCUACCACAUGGAAUCAAAUUUCUUGAAAUUACUGAAAAGCUAAAAAAAGAAAAUGCUUCAAAUUACAAAACAUAUUUAUGGUCCAUUGUAAAUUUGUGAUUCACUAAAUUUUUGAUGCCCAAAGUGUAUUUGCAUUCCUUUUCUGUGUCCAUCUCAAGAAACAUUCCGAAAACUGUCUUAAUCCAUCAAAGGCAAAUCCCAAUUUCAAGGGAGUUUCCACUCCACACACACCCAAAAAAAAA